UACACCAUACAACGUAGAUCUUUAUCCUUAGACCUACCAACGUAUAUUUUAUUUCUAACAUAUCUAAUACAAGACAGCUUUAAAGUGUGAUACGAGAUGAAGAUCUAGUCAAGACAGAAAUGGCCAAGCGAGUUUUGACUGUACUUAUUUUCUUUUCAGUGCUAAUGGAAUUUAAGGAAUAAUUUAGACCGUUUGGUUUAUCGAUAAUACAAUUAUAGUGAAUGCUGUUCAAUAACGAGGAUGUUAAUUAAGUCCUAUCGAGGCUGCUAAUUAAAAGUUCUCAUAUUGAUUGGUCAAAGGGACUUAACCAGUUAAUGUCUGGGGAAAGAAAACGGAAAGAAUUGUAAUCUUAAAGUCAGUUGAAGCAACGUUAAAGGACAAGGAUAUCAAAGUGACUCCAGAUAAACUGAAUACACUUCCUUGGCUUGCUACGUGUAGACAGAAGUCACACCAGAUAAUAGAAAGUGUGUGAGGGUCAAAGUUCGAAUCUGUCCAUUAUACAAUAACUAAACUGACGCCUGAGAGAAUUUACCCAAAUACCCAAAAACAAAGAGAUACUAACGAAAAAAUAAU